UGAAAUGGCCACUCUAUGUGCAGACACAGGUAGAUGCUCAUAUUGUUUUCAGUUGUUGGUUUGUCGUAAGUGGUGUCUGCAUUAGUACGUUACUGGUCUGAGGAGAGACGGGUGUUCACCCGCAGAAUUCACCUGAGCUGCUCAUAUUGAAAAGCCGCUAUCACUGAUUGACAUCGGUUUGAUUUUAAUGGCAACAUAGGUAGUGUUACCUUUACUGCAGUUGGAACAUGAAUUCAAGUCGAUUAUUAAGGGGCCCAUGCCUUUCCUUUAGAGAGUACUUUUUUUAUAAUACGAUGUUUUUAUUCUGCAUACAGUGAAUUUUGAAAAGGAAUAUUCUAGAGUACUUCAUAAUCACUUCAGACGCAAUGACAAGGCCACAUUUUUUCCUCAUCCGCUCCUCUGGAGUCCUUCAGAGGUGAGGGUGGGUGGAUAACAACUGCUGGCAUCUAGAGGUUGGAGGCUGAGCUGCAGUGCUCAGGGGAAGCCCCUGCCCGGAGUCAUCCUGCCUGACGCGAGUGGGUGCCAUUGAGAAACCCUGCCAGGGGGUCAUGUCCUAGCUGGGCCAUGGCCAAGGUGCAGGAACGGAUGCUUCUAGUGCUGCUGCUGAUCCAAGACAGUGAAUGAAUAAAAGUGCGUUCGUCUGUG